GCCUACUUAUCAACAGCAGGAUUAAAAUUUGCCACAAUUACGGGCCACACACAGUGCUCCAAAUUUUUCCCUCAUCUCCAUCACUGGUGAUGAGGAGAGGUUCAGCUGAGAGGUGCAUAAAAAUAUUUUAAAAAAGAAUCCUCCACUACUAGAUUAGCUAUUGGGGAAGAGAGGAGGUCAGCUGAUAGAGGGGGGGGGGGGGGGGGGGGGGGGCAUAAUUCCACUCACACUGGCCAACCACAGGACAUUCUCUCCCUCCCUCCUUCCUCUUCGCUCAAGCUUGCUCCUCCUCAUCUUCUUCCUCCCAUCUCUCCUCAAACUCCUCCGACAUCCAACAAGCAAGAAUUGUGGGGGUAGCGAAGGAAUUGGAGGAGAUCUUGCAUGGAUGCAGCCCACUGGCAGCAGAGCCUAGGGCUGGUGAAGCCCAUGGAGGAGAUGCUCAUGGCGGCCAGCGCGGGCGCCGCCGCGAACACGAGCCCGGGCUCCAAUCCGAACCCGCCGGCGCCGUCGUCGGUGGCUGGGGGCGGCGCCCUGCGCGCCCCCGCUCCGCCGGCCGUGGCGGGCGCGGGUAGCACGGAGCGGCGCGCGCGGCCGCAGAAGGAGAAGGCGCUCAACUGCCCGCGGUGCAACUCCACCAACACCAAGUUCUGCUACUACAACAACUACAGCCUCCAGCAGCCGCGCUACUUCUGCAAGACGUGCCGCCGCUACUGGACGGAGGGCGGGUCCCUCCGGAACGUGCCCGUCGGCGGCGGCUCGCGCAAGAACAAGCGCUCCUCCUCCUCGUCGGCGUCCGCCUCCACCUCCGCCUCGGUCACGAGCUCGUCAAUGGCCAGCACAGCGGGGGCGGCGUCCAAGAACCCGAAGCUGGCGCACGAGGGCGCGCAGGACCUUAACCUGGCGUUCCCGCACCACGGCGGCCUGCACGCGCCCGAGUUCGCGGCGUUCCCGAGCCUGGAGAGCAGCAACGUGUGCAACUCCGGUGGCGCAAUGGCGGGCAACGGCCGGGGGGGCGGCGGCGGCGGCGCGGGGCCCGGUGUAGGCGCUUUCUCGGCCAUGGAACUGCUGCGGAGCUCCGGCUGCUACAUGCCGCUGCAGGUGCCGAUGCCGAUGCCGGGAUACUACGCGGCGGCAGGGUUCGCGCUCGGAGAGUUCCGCGCGCCGCCGCCGCCGCCUCCACCGUCACAGAGCGUGCUCGGGUUCUCGCUGGACGCGCACGGCCCGGGGCCCGGUGCUGCCGCGGCCGGGUACGGCUCCAGCGCGGGGUUGCCGGAGAACGCGGGCAGGUUACUGUUCCCGUUCGAGGACUUGAAGCCGCCGGUCAGUUCUGGCGGUGGCGGUGUGGCCGCUGGUGCAAGCGGUGGCGCCGGCGACGGAAACAGCGGCCAUCCUCAAUUUGACCACAACAAGGAGCAAGGCGGUGGAGGCCCCAGUGCUGGGCACGACACGCCGGGAUUCUGGAACGGCAUGAUCGGCGGCAGUGGCGCCUCUUGGUAGCGCGGCGGCGCCAUGCAUGGCUCAUGCAAAGGCUCCGUGCGAGCGUGCAUGGGCGUUGACUGGAGACAUUGGCAUGCAGUAGAGACAAGGGUUCAAUAAGAGGUUGGCAUUGGUGGUGGUUGCCGUGACAUGGGAGUGUUUGGUCCUGGAGUUGGUUCUCGGUGUUCUUCGUCGCGAGUUCAUGUGUGUUUUUGCUGACCAUCGACUUAAUUGGGGCUCUAACACAUCAGAGUAUCGUACAAAAUUCAGGGGUCAUGAUACAUACAGGGCUAGCUCUGAGAUGUCAUGUCUCACCAUCUUCCCAAACAAGAAUCUUCCAGCCAUGAAAAGCACUAGCGAGCGAGAGGAGGGGAGAGAGAACGAGGAUGAGGAUGGAGGAGCGAGAGAGAAGGCAUGGCCGCAUGGAGCAGGAGAAUAUGUACGUAUGACAAACACCCCACUGCCUAAAGAAACUUUACCCUGUCUCUCUCCUCACAUGGUAUUAUUAUAUCAUAUGCUUGGCCAUCUGUAAGUGCCUGGGCAGGCCAUUUGUACCACCUUUAACGUUUUUGUAAGCCAAAAGGUGCAAUGCUGCUA